AGCAAACAAAUCAGAAGGAUCAGCCAGUACUUCCUUCCUAGCUAAACCUCCAUCCUCUCAACUCUCUUAGGUUGUAAUUUGGAGUGCCUCACAGUGAGAAGCCAUACUUGUUAGUUGGUGAUCAAUUAAGCUAAAAAUGCAGGUGAGGAUACACCCCUCCUGGAUAGGAGUUGAGUGGUAUUUGGGCGCUUCCAGCUGUGGCUUAUACCCUUUCUCUUGCUUAGAAAAAUGUUUGGAGUGUUUAUGACCCUCUUUUGGUUAAGAAUGUAUGUAUAGAUAGUACAUAUAAAGUUAUUUGAGGAUGACUGUACUAAUACUUCAUACU